rnacentral:rRNA from 1 species
UGGGGCUGCUUACCAUGCAAGUCGCACGGAUGGGGGCAACCCCAUUAGUGGCGGACGGGUGAGUAACGCGUAGGUAUCUAUCCUUGGGUGGGGGAUAACUGUGGGAAACUACAGCUAAUACCGCAGUGAUCCCUGAGGGGCAAAGGCGCAAGUCGCCUGAGGAGGAGCCUGCGUCCGAUUAGCUAGUUGGUGGGGUAAAGGCCUACCAAGGCUGCGAUCGGUAGCUGGUCUGAGAGGAUGAUCAGCCACACUGGGACUGAGACACGGCCCAGACUCCUACGGGAGGCAGCAGUGGGGAAUAUUGGACAAUGGGCGCAAGCCUGAUCCAGCAAUGCCGCGUGGGUGAAGAAGGUCUUCGGAUUGUAAAGCCCUUUCGGCGGGGACGAUGAUGACGGUACCCGCAGAAGAAGCCCCGGCUAACUUCGUGCCAGCAGCCGCGGUAAU